rnacentral:rRNA from 1 species
GAUGAACGCUGGCGGCGUGCCUAAUACAUGCAAGUCGAGCGAACGGACGAGAAUCUUGCGUUUCUGAUGUUAGCGGCGGACGGGUGAGUAACACGUGGAUAACCUACCUAUAAGACUGGGAUAACUACGGGAAACCGGAUCUAAUACCGGAUGAUAUUUUGAACCGCAUGGGUCAAAAGAGAAAGACGGUCUUGCUGUCACGUAUAGCGGGAUCCGCGCUGCAUUAGCUAGUUGGUAAGGUAACGGCUUACCAAGGCAACGAUGCAUAGCCGACCUGAGAGGGUGAUCGGCCACACUGGAACUGAGACACGGUCCAGACUCCUACGGGAGGCAGCAGUAGGGAAUCUUCCGCAAUGGGCGAAAGCCUGACGGAGCAACGCCGCGUGAGUGAUGAAGGUCUUCGGAUCGUAAAACUCUGUUAUUAGGGAAGAACAUAUGUGUAAGUAACUGUGCACAUCUUGACGGUACCUAAUCAGAAAGCCACGGCUAACUACGUG